rnacentral:lncRNA from 1 species
UUUUUUUUUUUUUUCUUUUUUGGAAAACGGCAAUGCAAAAUUAUUAGAUAGUGUGGAGUUAUGUUUCACAUUUUCAAAUCAAAUAGUGUGUGACGUUGUAAUAAAAAAGUACUUUUUUAUCUCGACGACAUAUUUUUCAAGUUUCUCGAUUUUCUUCUCUUAUUUAAACUUUGUUUUUAAUUUCUCACUUGUACUUUGAUUUACCUAGGGAUAUUCUUGUUAUACAUGCUACGAAUUUAAGCUUACAAAUAAGCCUUAGUUGCUCUAGGUUUUAUGUAACAGAAAUAUUGAGAUUGAGAAAAUUUUGUUCUUUGUUUUGAAGGGUUUUUUAUUUCAGGUUUUCCUUUGAUUAUCUUCAUCUUUUGUACUCUCAUUUUAUUAUAGUGAAAUCUUCUUUUACCCGUGAUUUUUUUAUCAUCUUUUGAGGAGUUUUUCCAUAUAAAUUUUGCAUGUUCGAUCUUGUUGAUUUUACUUUAUUUACUUGUUCGUUGCAUACAAGGUUAUUUCCCUACAAAUAUAUUAUUGGUUGUAGAGUUUUUUAACUCCAUAAACGGGAUUAGAAAUGGCAAAAUUUUAAUCACUUGAUGGAUUUUGAAUCGGUUCAUUUUUGUGUUUGAGAUGUGGAUGCAAUAUGGGGCAGUUUUAAUAGUACAAAUGGAUGAAUUUUUUAACACAAAAGAUAAAUUUGCUCUUUGAUUAACGUAAAAUGAUUAAUUUAUUUAUUUUUUAAAUAUAAAAAGAUAAAAUGUAACCGUACUCCUAUUAAAUAAAUCUCUAUAGUACUUUUACCAUUGUCAUGCCUUUGCAAUAAACACAGACAGCUGUAAACAUCUAAUUUUUUACUAAGGCCUUUCAAUCUAGUUCUGGAGUGAUUGUUUUAAGGAAGUUAAAAGGCCCAAUUUGAGUCCAAAUCUAGUGUUGAACCAUUUGGGUCACUAUGUGUGGCUAAAUACUCAAAUUCUGUUGGGUUUGGGCUUAAAUCAUAAAAAACCCAAAAUUGCUUCUUCAUCUACAUUCAUUUCGUUAAGUUAGUUUGUUUAAUUUUUUAAUUAUUUAAUUUAAUGUUUGUAUACAAGUUUUAAUUCAAAUUUUUAGUUAAAAUAAAAUAAAUGUAAAUUCCUCACAACAAAUUCGCUUCUUAAUAUUCAAAAUUUUUUUAUCGAGCUGCAAUUAGACUUUUUACGGGUUGAAUCAUUCAUUUAAGCGUAAAAGUUCAUUCAAAAUUUAAGAGGGUGUCAACAAAAAUAUUAAACUCAAAAAUUAGAUUUGGGCAAAAAAGUUAAACCCAUUUACAAUAUGGGUUGAGCUCAACUCAAACAUUCAAAGCCUGAGUUAACUCGACUCAGCUAAUUUUCUAUGUUUAUAAUAUAUAAAAAUUAAAUCUAUUGUAAUAUAAUAUUAUGAUGUAAAAAAAUUUAAAAAUGCUUAAAAUACCUAUAUAUAAAAUUAUUAAAUAUUAAACCAAAACUAAUAUAAAUAUUUUCAAAAAAAAUAAAAAGAAAAUAAUAUAGAUAGGCCUAAAAUAGUCUUGGGUUAGCCAUUUACAAAUGUGAACAAACUUGGACAAAAUUUCAGGCCAAUAUUUUCGGCCGGGUUGCAAUUGGCCAAGCAUAAAGCUUAUCAAUAUCAUAUGUAAGCAUGAUCUGACACGUAAAUAUCUCUAGUUGCAACCAUAUCAACCAACUGUUUUGGAGCUGGUUGCUCCUCCCAAAUUAUUAAAUCGACUAUUUAAAUCAUUUAAAACUUUAUGAAAUUACUAGUAAAAUGAUAAAAUUACACUUUAACCCUUCAAAAAUUUAUCAUUCUAUCUCUAAUUCCCCUAAACCAAUUUUUUGGACUUCACUAUGCUACUGUGGGUAUGAUUCAAUUUUUUUUAUUAUGUAUUUGUAACUUUUUGCAAAAUUAUUAUCCAUAAUUUAUAUCAAUAAAACACGAAAUAUAAUAAUUGUAUUAAGCAAAACUAAAUUAGUUUUGUAAGUAUACAUUUUCAUACAUUAUAUUGUAAACUAUUUAUAGAUUUUGUUAAAAUACAACUUCAGAUAAUAAAAAAAAAACAUAAAUUUUCAGUUUUUAUAAAACAACAUACGCAUAUGAUAACAUCGUCACCUAGACCUCGAAACACGAACAAGGAACGACGCAAAAUUCAAUGGACCACAACCGUAAUGUCGGUUAAACGAUGAGUCCCUUGACAGAGUAUUCGAUGAUCCGAAAGAGAACGAAGAAGAAGACGAGCUCGAUACACACGGUGAACCCACGAAUUCCCCGUCGUCAUCCGAACUACACGUCUCGUAAUUUGAGUACUUAUCUGAUUGAUGAUCAUCAAUCUUCUUCUUGUUGUCAUUCUUUUUGCCGUGUUUCCAAAACUUGAACACUUUCAGUUUCGAACCCUUAUUUUCUUCUAUGACAUCAAUACGCGGGUUAGGUAAACCAAGGCUAAGUAAUGCCGGAGGUGGACUAAUAGGAGGGAGAACUUCUUCCUUCUGCGGUUCUUUCGGUGUCCCAGGUUNNNNNNNNNNNNNNNNNNNNNNNNNNNNNNNNNNNNNNNNNNNNNNNNNNNNNNNNNNNNNNNNNNNNNNNNNNNNNNNNNNNNNNNNNNNNNNNNNNNNNNNNNNNNNNNNNNNNNNNNNNNNNNNNNNNNNNNNNNNNNNNNNNNNNNNNNNNNNNNNNNNNNNNNNNNNNNNNNNNNNNNNNNNNNNNNNNNNNNNNNNNNNNNNNNNNNNNNNNNNNNNNNNNNNNNNNNNNNNNNNNNNNNNNNNNNNNNNNNNNNNNNNNNNNNNNNNNNNNNNNNNNNNNNNNNNNNNNNNNNNNNNNNNNNNNNNNNNNNNNNNNNNNNNNNNNNNNNNNNNNNNNNNNNNNNNNNNNNNNNNNNNNNNNNNNNNNNNNNNNNNNNNNNNNNNNNNNNNNNNNNNNNNNNNNNNNNNNNNNNNNNNNNNNNNNNNNNNNNNNNNNNNNNNNNNNNNNNNNNNNNNNNNNNNNNNNNNNNNNNNNNNNNNNNNNNNNNNNNNNAAGUAAUCAACUAAGGUACCAAUUUUGGGCGUAUCGAGGGUGCUAAUCCUUCCUCGUGCGUAACGGACUCCCGAACCCGUUUUUCUGAAUUUCGUGGACCAAACCUGUUGUUUUAAUAAAAUCAAACCGUUUAUUAAAAACAACCACUUUUCAAGGUGAUCCAAUCACACCUCAUAAAAAAGGAUUGGUGGCGACUCCCGUUUCAUUUUUCAAAACCCAAGUCGACCCCGUUUUUCAUCAAAAAAUGGUGUCAACAUUUAGGAAUAUAGUCCUUAACUUUUUAGAUUUAAAAAUUUAGGUCCAAUUGUCAUCAUGAUUAAAAUUCUUCUCUUAAAUUAUUUAAUGUGAUAUUUUGAAUUUUAAAGAAAAUUUACUUGAUAGUCAUAUAAUAAUAAAUAUAACGUUGAAAAUAUUAAUUAAGAUUUUAUCCUAAAAACACUCAUUCAAAUUCGUCGUCGUGAUAAAAAAUAUUCUAUUCAAAUAGUUUCUUCGUGAAAUUUUUAUAUCAUAAUUUUAAUUGAAAUAAUUAACAAUAGACUAAUUAAUGACACUAUAAAAGUAGUGGACUGAAUUAAUUUGAAAAUUAAAGUAUAUAAAUUAAAGUUCAAGUUUUAACAUAAUCUAGGGGUCAAAUUAGAAAUUUGACCAUUGCUAUAUAAUGUCAAAAAAGUGACGUACCUAAAAGGAAUGUGAAGCCAUAUGUCAAUCUUUAAGACUCUUGGGAUAUUCAAAUUAUAUAUAAUCACUUAAUGUUUUAAUCGAAAAAUUAAUGUUACUAACUAUUUUGACUAAUUAAUAACAUUAUAAAAAUAUAAGAUCAAAUUAUGUUAAAAAUUAAAAUAUAUAGAUUAAAUAUAAACUUGUUCAUGGGUUGGGCCACCCUACAAUGCUCGAAGGCCCUCCUGAAAUGUGGGAGGGUUUUGAUAAAAAUAUAGGCCCGAAAAAUGAGCUUGAAUAAAAAAAGGCCCGUUUAAAAAAAGGUCAGGCCUCGAGUAAGGCAUUUCUAGCUUAGGCCCGGCCUGACCCAAAUUCACUAAAUGACAAAAAAAAUAUGCUCUUUUUUUUUUAAAUGUUAUUUUCUUGUUGUUUUCUCUCUAUUUUACUACAAUUUUACUAUUAUGUUGCUACUAUUUUGUUGUUAUUAUUUGGAUAUGGUAUAAAACUUAUUUUAUUAUUAAUUUUGUUAUUAUCUUAAAGGUAUUUGUUAACAUUUUAGAGGCAUUUGCUUGUUAAGUUGUAUCUAUCUUAGUGUUAUUUAAGUAUACAUAUUUUUUAAAAUUUAUUUUCAAUUUGUUGAAAAAUAUUUAUUUUGAUUUUUUUAGUAUUUUUAUGUAUUAUAUAUAUUUAAAAAUAAUAUAAAAAUUAAUACGGGCAGGCUGAGUCGGGCCCGGGCCUAGCAAAUGGGCCUAAAUUUUUAGUUGAGCCCAACCAUGAACACGUCUAUUUAUGAACAAGUAAAAAAUAGAAGAAAUUAUGUUAUGAACUCUUCUUACCACAUACGAUAUCCACUUGUCAAUCAAAUAACCAUACCACCUAUGCUUGUUUCUUAAAAUUUUUUGAACAUUAAGUUUUUAUCAUAUAUAUUCUUUUGAUAAAAUGCUUAGAAUUACUGAUACUCCCUCCCCAACACUUAAAUAAGAAGAUAACGCGUUUUAAUGCACUCGAACCCAUAUCCUCUUGUCAGGGGCUAACCUAGAAAUUUUUUUAGGGGGUCGAAAUUAAAAUUUAUUUUUUAAUGGUAUAUAUCUUUAUAAUUUUUAAAUGUUUAAAUCAAAUUUUUAUAAUUUUAGGGGAGCUAAAGUGUAAUUUUACUUUUAUUAAUUUAAAAUUUUAAAAAAUUUUAAAAUGUGUAAAUAACAAUUUUCUAUUUUAGGGAACCGGAUCUUGCCAACCUCUAAAUUUACCUUUACCUUUUACACUGAUAACAAUACUAAUGUCAAUAAUCCAUUAUUGUAAUGAGAUUUAUGUGUAUUUAAAAGGCAAUUUUAAUGAAAAUCAUGCCCCUUGCAUUUUAUACAGUCAGCAAAAUAGAAGAAGAAAAAAUGUGAUUGCAAUCACAUGCAUGAUUGAUGGUAAGUACUGACAAAUUUGUAUUUAUUUGUUUACUUAGAGUGAAAAAUUAAAUAAUUUAUUCAUGAAUUAUUUUUUUUUAUUUUUUUGAAUUGAAUGAUAAAGACUUUAUUCAACAAAUAUAAUUGGUCUAGUUUAAUUAUCUAACAAAAAAAAUAUCUCUUUUUUUAUGCAUAAAAAAAUUAAUAUUUUUGAAACGGAUCAAACUAUCAAUUUUUAAUCAAAUCAAUCUAUCUAGUUAAAUAAAUUAUUAAUAAAUAAAUAAAUAAAAUUCAAUUCAACCAAUUUGUAAUCUAGUUUAAUGGGGGGGGGGGUCAACCUAUUUUCUUUAUCACUCUUCGGCAGGGAUGAAAACAAAGGGUUAAAUGGAUAAAAUUUUUAUUUAUUCCUACUCCUAAAACAGCUUUCUACCUUCGUCCCUUCUUCCUAAAGUGAUAUUCUAAUCAAUUCUCAACUAGAUUCUGUUUAGAUAACACUAAUAUUAUUAAUGAAUACCAACAAAAACCAAAAUUAAGAAGAACCUUUUUCCUUUCAUGUAAGAAUAAGAAGGAACCUUUCCCUGCUUUAUCCUUCACUGCUAAAAAGUAGUUCCCACACAAAAAAAAAGAUUCUACUCCUUUUUCUUUUCCCAGUCCACACUGAAUCCCAUUCACUAUUAAUCACAUCUAAUUUUUUAAAGGUUGUUGAAACCAGAUAAAAGGAUCGGUUAAAUAAGUUCAUUCAAAGCAAUGAAAAAAUUAGUUAAUUUAUAAUUUGAUUGUAUCAAUAGUUAAAUUGGUUGAAUAAGAUUUUAUAGUUUUAAGAUAUUUUAAAUAAUUUAUUUAAUUAAAAUUAAAUAGAUUAAUCGAAUCGAAAAUAUAAUUCAUCUUUUCAGUUUCGAAAAAUUAUAUUUUUUAUUCAUUAUACACAAAUCUUAAAUAGGGGUUGCAUCCAAUUAAAAAUUGCAGCUAAUUGAAAUUAGAUUUGUACAUGAGUUGGAACAGCUUGCUAAGCUUGAAUAGGUUUUAAUCUCUCGACUCUGGCUUGUAUAUAAUUUAAACAAUAAAAAAUGUUUUAAACUUUAAAAUUAAUAAUAAAAAAAUAUAAAAUAUUUUUAUUUUAAGGAUUUUUAUUUUUUUUCCCUUAUGGGAGAACCAAAAAUGAGUCUCGAGUUUGAAUUUGUUUUGUUACCGGGCCAGGCCUCCGGCCCGGGAUCGAAGGUGUGUGUAGAGAAUUUUGGUUUUUUGGGGAAAAGCGAAAAAGAAAGACUUUCGGCUCUAAAGUAGAAAAAGAUAGCAGCAAGUGUGGGUCCCACUGUGGAAUUGGAAUAGAAUGAAUGGAUGCCUCGGUUAUGGUUUCCUCAACUAUUGCCCACUAUUUUGCCAUCUAUUAUCAACAAUGCCAUUGGACUCUUCCUUUUUUUUAAAAAUAAAAUAAAAAUUAAAUUGUGUUUAAAUUCGUUUUUUAAAUUAAAUUUAUUUUUUAUUACUUAAUUUCAAAAGUUUAUAAAAUCACUAUUAAAUUAUUCAAAAAAUUUUUAUUUAAAUCAUCGAACAAUUAAGUUUAAAAUUUUAUCCAAUGUUACAUCAAGGUAUGUGUUUAUUGCAUUAAAAUUAGACAUAAUAAUUUUUUUGCCCUCCAACUUUAUAGAAAAAGUCAUUUUGGCUCUCCAUUAUAUUUUGAUCUCUUUUAGCUCUUAAACUUGUAUUUUUAUCGAAUCACCUCAAAAUUGAUUGAAAAGUUAAUGUUUAUUAACUUUUCUAACAUGGCAUACAUGUGGAUUGCCACGCAAAUGACAUGCCAUCAUUUAAUUAAUUUUUUAAAAAAAUAGUUUUUAUAUUUUUUUUGAAUUUUAGAAUUUUAAAAAAUUAAUUAAAUACUUGCAUGUUAUCCACGUGACAGUCAACUUGUAUGUCACAUCAAUAAAAUUAAAAAACAUUUAAUUUUUCCCUCCAUUCUGAGUGAUAUGGCAAAAAAUGCGAGUUUAAAUGCUAACAAAGAUGAAAAAAUAAAUGGAUAGAUAAAAUGGAUUUUCUGUAAGUUGGAGGACCAAAAAGACUUUAUACUUUAAAAUUAAUAUAUUUGUUUUUUUUUAGCUUAUGUUCUACUUGUAAUUAAUUGAUUAUUAUGCCAUUGAAGAAAAAUUAACUUAAUCUACUCAUAUUAAGUUUCGAUGAUUUUAAAAUUGAGUCGGAUUAAAUUUAAAAUAUAAAUAAAUUACCCAUAAUAGCAAAUCUCUAAAUGGAAGAUAUCUUCUUUGUAUAAAAAUAUAUUUUUUCUUUUUUAAAAAAUAAAGGCAUAAUGAUAAAUUAAGCCUUUCAUAUUUAUUUUUUAUUAAUUUAGUCUUUAUUAUUUUUUAACUUAAAUAUAGCCCACAACAUUUUAAACAGAGUCAAAUUUGACCAUUAACCUCUUAAAGAGAAUUAAAUUGUUAUUUUUUUAACAAAAAAAUCUUAUUAAAAUGUUAAAAUUUUAAACACGAAAGCUCGCAUGACAAUCUACGUGUACUUCAUAUUUUUAUUUAUGAAUUUUUAUAAUUUUAUGAAAUUAAAUUUAUUUUAUUUUUGAAUAUUUUAUAAUUUUUAAAUUAUUUGUUAACGUGAUAUAUAAAAUAAAUAGUGUUAUAUUAGCAUGAAAUGCUACCAUGCAUGUUGGUCAUGCCGAUAUUGCUAAAAAAUUAAUAUUUUAGUGGGCAUUUUCAUUAGAGAAAAGUAAUUGGACUCUUUUUGAAAAGUUGAAUGCCAAAUUUAGCUCAACAAAAAAAAAGAGCCAAUUUGACAAAAAAUCUAAACGUUAAAGGCUAAAUUUAUCAUUAUGCCAAAAAUGAAAUAGAAUAUAACACACGCAUACAUAAGUGUGUUUAAAUAUGUGAUAUUGAAGUUGUUGCAACAACAACAAUAUAAACCUAGUAAAUCAACCACAAUAGGAUAAGUUUAAGAGUGAUAUCAGUUCGGUUCAAUCAAAUUUUUUAGAAUUUUUUAACCGUCCAUCAUAAUUUGGUUCAAUUCUCUAUUUUUUCUAUUGAUUUUUUAUUUUGAAAUUUAGACUUAUUUUUAUAAAUGAGCUUUGUUUUAUGGCUUUUGAAUAUUAUUUGACAAAAUGUAAAGGUAUUUUUCAUAAAUAUUUCUUUAAAAAAAACAAAAUUUGAAGAACUUUUAAAUUAUUUUCAUUAUUUUGAAUAUAAAAUUUUUAUUUAUAUCUUAAAAAAUCAAGAUUAAUUAAAUAUUAAAUAAAAAACAAAAUUUGGUUCGAUUUCAAGUAACUGUAAUUUUUAAACUUACAUUUCAUAAAUCAUCCAAAAACCUCAAUUCGAGUUGAUUUUCGAAUUUUUUUGGCCACCUAAUUUAUUUUGCACCUAUUGUAAGAUUUUUUAACUUCAUAAUGGAUUACCAUAGAUCUUAUUUUUUAAAUUAUUAAUCGAAAUAUUAUUUUAAUCUCAAUUAGAGAAAAAUUAAUGUAUCCUUAAUUAUUUUUUAUUAUUGACCACUAAUUGUUUUUCUUUUUUUAUUAUUAUUUAUUGUUUUUACUUUAUUUUUGUAUUUUUAAAUUUAAAAUAAUAAUAAAGUAACCUAUCAUUAUCAAAACAAUUUAUUAAUUCAUCAACUUAAUAGCUUUUAAAUUAUUAAUUUCAUCAAUUUGAUUUAAAAAUAUUAAUUCACCUGCCUCCUCAUCCUUCCAUUCAACUUUCUCUGUAAAUUGGCGUUAAGAAUUGCCUCAGCAUUGCCUUCUACUUCUUGUGUAAAGUUAAACAAAAUAACCAAAGAACCCAGCAUUGGUUAUAAUGGACCUAUUUCAGGUUUAGGCCCAAACCAGUUUUCUUCUUCUUUCUCAUUAAUAUUUUUUUUGUUAAACUACGUGGGAUGUCCCUGUAUUAUAUGGACUAAAUCAAAUUAGUCCAUCUAUUAUUACAUAGAUCAAUUUAAUCCCUAUCUUAAAAAGUUUAAAUUUGUAGCAAAUUUAAUAUUUACUAUAAAAAUAUCUUGAAAUUUAUUUUUAUCAGUUGAACUUCAAUUCCAAACAAUAUAUUUCAUUUGCAUAACUAUAAAAACGUUGAAAGAUACCUUUAAAAAUAUCAAAUUUUUAUUAUUUUUAGAGGGUCAAAAGUAAAAUUUUACCUUAAUUAUUUUAAAAUUUUAAAAAAAUUUAAGGGUCUAAAUGAAAUAUUUUCCAUUUGGGGGCAGGGAAGGGAAAUGCCACAGCAGCUACGAAUCUCUCUGUAAUUACAUGUUUUUUUUUUCCUUCGCUAUUUUGAUAAUGAUUUCCCCCUAUGCGCGCAUACUCUGCCUUACUUAUUCUUGCCCCCCUUUCUUUUUCCCUUUACAAAAUUAAUUUGUUUAUAUCAAAUAUAAUCUCUACAAAUAUUAUAAUUUCAAUCAAAAGUUAUUAUUAUUUCAACCGUAUUAAAAUUACACAAAAAAUUUACUAAAAAAUUGCACGGAUUUAGUAAAUGGUAAUCAAUUAAUUUUACGUAUUCAUUAAGUAAUUAUAAUAUUGCUAUUUACAUUUUAUGAAAAAAAAAGUCUUUUAUACUAUAAACAAGUUUCAGAUCAAUUUGGAUCUAAGGUAUAUUUUUUUAUUAGUUAAUGAAUACUGAUCAACCGUACUGAUCAUUAAAUCACCGUUUGAAGCUCAUUAGCGAAACUUUAGAAAAGAAAAAAGCUCACUAUUAUAUAAACUUUAAAAAGUUACAAAAUAUCAUUUAAUUAUUCGAAAGUUUUUAUUUAAUUCAUUAAGUUGUUGAAAUCAUUGUUGUAUGAUCUUUUCUGUUCUCAUCGCCUACACCAAUCGAAACCUCUAAUUCAUUUUCUUUUCUAUAGUUUUUUUUUUCUUCAGAAAAUAACUUUGAACAUCAUGAAUCUAUGAACCAAGAUCCAAACAGUUUUUUUAUCCGAUCUCUAAUCAUCAGAUCGACUUGGAUCUAAAAUAUAUUUUUCUACUAGUUGAUAGGUAUUAAUCCAUUGUACCGAUUGCUGAAUCACUACUUAGAACUCAUUAGCCAAACUUUAAAAUUAUCAUCAGAGAUAUUAAAAUUAAAAUAAAUUUAUAAAUAGUCAAUAAUUAUAUUCUAUACCAUACACUAACAAAAUAUUUUUAUAGAACUAGUUGAGUUUUAUUAUGUAUUUAUUAAAUUAUUAUCAAAAUCAAAAUUAUAUAAUUUAUAUAAUAACAACAAAUAUUUAUUAGGAAUGGUGAUUAAGGUUUCUGUUGACCUAAAUAAUACGAAUUAAUAAACGAACAUAAAUAUUGAAAAAGAUCUGGUCCUGUACCCAGGAAAUCUAGUAAUCGUGACAAUUUUGCCACCGCUAUUGGUUUCGGUUUCUUCCAAAUUACGAAUCGAAAAAGAUCCGGGCCCGCCGGACAUUAGUUUCGCCACCGUUGUCGGUUUCGGUUUCUUCCAAUUUACAAAUAUAAAUAUCGGUAAGUAUCUGGUCCAGUACGAAAUUUAGUAAUACCAACAGUCUCCCAAACUCUGUUGUUGCAUUCUCGAAAAGGUUGGUCUAAAAACGACUUUCCCAUCAACAAGCAAAUUCCUUAAUAAGAAAAAAGAGAUUAAAUUUGUUGACAAUGGCAGUAAGCAACAAACAUCAUCUUGAAUUCUUUAAACUACCCACCUCCAUGCACAUCUUCGUUCGGAUAUUCGUUUUCUGAAUCCCGAAUCCCUAUACAAACAUAACGCCAGUUGUAAGCCCUAAUAAAUGACAACACCAUGUAAAUCCUAAUAAAUGAGAAAUGAAAUUACCUCCAAGUUCAUGAGCCAUCUUCUUAGAAAUAAAAGCACGAAACCCAGUAUACCACGAUGUUGCACUAGAAACAGCGUAUAUUCUCUUUUUCGCUUCCUCUUCACUACAAACAAAAAAGAAAAAUAAAACCCAUUUCUCAAAUUCCAGGAAAAAAAAACCCAAAAUUGAAGGAAUUAGAAACCUGCCGACAACAGAAGCGAGAGUUUUAACGUAGAGAUCGAUCUCUUCGCCUAAGGAAGGUUCUUGGUCUUCCGGGAAUUGGAAAGGGAUAACCCAAAGAUCAUCAUCACGUCCAACUGCGAAGUGGGUAUUUGAAAGGGCAGGUAGAAUUUGCUGUCUACGAAGGACUUUCCCAUCAACAAACAUAUCCCCUGAGAGAAAAGAGAUUAAAUUUGUUGACAAUGGCAACUUCAAUAGCUAUAAGCAAAAAAAAAAAUCAUCUUUAAACUACCCACCUUCAAAAAAACUAUCUUCGUCAUCCAAAUACUCAAUUGAUAAAACCCAGCGUACACGAGGUAACCCUAUGGAAACAUAAUGUCAAUUGUAUGAAAAAGAUUGAUUUUAGAACAAAGUGGAUGCCUCAUCAAUUAUGAGUUCAAAAACACUCACAAAAACAACUGGGGAAAACCGUAUAAACCCUAAUAAAUUAGUAUAGAAAGUAAUCACGUCGGGAGGUUUAAAACCCUGAAACAGCUAAGAAAACAUCACACACUUUUUUUUUCUUUCUUUCUGAAAAACCGUUGUUUCAGAAAACACAAUUCUUCUUCCAAUCACACUAGAAAAAGGGAAAAUCAUGUAAAACCUAAACCCUAAUAAAUGAGAAAUGAAAUUACCUCUAAGUUCAUAAAUCAAAUCCUUUGAGAAAAAAGCACGAAACCCAGUGUACAGCGUUGUACAAACAGAGUAUAUUCUCUUUUUCGCUUCCUCUUCACUAUAAGAUCAGAACAAACAAAAAAGAAAAAUAAAGCCCAAUUCUCAAACUCCCGGAAAAAAAAGCCCAAAUUUAAUGAAAUUUGAAGGAAUAAUUAUUAUUUAAAAACCUGCCGACUACAGAAGCGAGGGUUUUAACAUAGGUAUCGAUCAUUUCUUCUUUCAAAGGUUGUGGGCGUUCUGGGAAUUCCAAAAUGAUAAGCCAAUGUUCAUAAUCAACGCCAUCUAGGAAAGCCGCUGGUGAUCGGGAAAGGUCGCUCGAAGUCGAGUAGCCGGACCCGGAUGUCUUGGUUCGGGUCAGGAUUUUGGUUGCUUCGGGGAUAAAAACUGGGGUUUUGUUGAGGAGAGUAGCAGUGAGGCGAGAACGGAAAGGAAAGGAGGAAGAAGAAGAAGAAGAAGUGAGGGCGCGGCUUAAAAGGGUUGAUAGACAUCGUCGGGCAUUGACAAAAGCCAUUUUCCGGCAACGCUGGUUCUCUCUGAUAAUAAGCUUCGUUUCUUGGACACUCCCAGAUUGAGAUUGUAAUAAAGACCACCGGUUCACCGAUUAGUUGUCUCCUUCUGUUCAUCUAAUUUAUUAGCAUAAUAUCAUUUCAUAUUAUUUCUUCGAUCUAAUUUAUUAAUACAAUAUUUUAUCAUAUCAUAUCUUUCUUUAUUUAUGUAUUUAAUUUUAAAAUUUGAAUGUAAUCUCAUUCAAUUCGUAUUAAUUUUUUUAUAUAAAGUUAAUAUUAUUUAAAAGUUAAUAAAAAUAUACACUCAAAAUAAAUUUGGACAAAUAGAUAUCAAAAUUAUCUUAAUUUAAACACAAAUUUAUCCAAUUUCAUAUGGAUAGAUGCAAAAAUGUAAAAUUUAUGAUUGUUUUUAAAAGAAUACUGUUUAGUAUUAUAUAAAAGGGCCUGAAAAACCAAAGUAGAAGUCCAAAGACAAUAUCAAGGAGAAAACCCAACAAACACGCCACCAUUUCACCAAAAUGGUAAGAGACGUGCCUCUCCCCCGCCGUUGACUCAGCCCAUUGCUAUGAACAACCUGCAAAAAAAAAAAAAAAGAACACAGAACAAAGAAUAGCAUAAACACAGAAGCAGAAAAGCAGGAAUAGCAGAAAUAAAAAGGAGAAAGCAAAAACAAAAAAAACAAAAACUAAUACCAUGUAAUCUAUUUGGCUAUAAAAGCCGAAACCAUUGUAACAAAAAAAAAAGAGAAAUCAAAUACAAAAAAAAUAUUAUAUCUUUUAAUAUUAUUAAACAUACACAUUUAAUUAUUUUUAUUUAGUGAUAUAAUAAAUUAUUAAUACAAUUCUAUUUUAAUAAUUAAUUUUAAAAAUAAUAAUUCUAAAUAAUUUUCUUCACAUAUUAUUGAAAAUAUUCAAUAUUAAUAUAUAUAGUAAUAAUAAAUAUUUAUUACAAAUAUAAAUAUAUUAAUAAUAAAUAUUUUUUAGUAUAAAGGUUAAAAUAUGUCAUAAGUCUAUAUACUCUUCACAAAUUUGUAAUUUAGUCACUGUAUUUUUAUUUUCAAGGAUUUAGUCCCUCUAUUUUUCAUAUUUGAAGAUUAAGUCCAAUUGUUGAUAUUGUUCAAUUUUUUUGGUUAAUUUUGUUGAUGUCACAUUUUUAAAUAAAAAAAUACUCACUUGGUAGUCAUAUAAUUAAAAAAAUGACGUUGUAAUGAAUAUAAAUUUAACAAAAUAUUUUUAAUAUAUGCAAAUACAAUGUAAAAUAUAAAAUUAUAGAUGUAAAGUAAACACAAUUAGAAAACGAAAAUAUAAUAAAAUCUCAAAUGUAAGUUUUAUGAAAUAUUUGUAAGAAAUCUAUCAAAUAAUAUAAAAUAUUUUACAUAUAUUCAUCCAAACAACAGAAAAUAUUUGACUUUUUUAUGAAAGUAAGCCAUUUUCUAAAAAUAAUUUAAGCCAUUUUCUAAAAAUAAUUUUCCGGAAGUCAAUUUCAAUGAAACAAACAGAGCCUAAGUAUUUUUAGUUGAUGAUUUGAUUUUUUAUUGUAAAAAUUCAACUCGACUCGAACUCGAAAUUCGAAAUUUGUUAUUCGAGUUGACUCGAAUAAUUCGAAUAACUUGAUUCAGUUAACUCGAAAUUAAAAAAAAAAUCGAUUUUUUUGAAUCGAAUCGAAUUUUGUUCACCCCUAGUUAGAUGUAACCAUAGUAAUAAGCGUGGAGAUUAAUUAUUGUAAAAAUUCAAUUCAACUCGAACUCGAAAUCCGAAAUUUCUUAUUCGAGUUGACUCAAAUAAUUCGAAUAACUUGAUUCGAUUAGCUCGAAAUUUAAUUUUUUUCGUUUUUUUCGAAUCGAAUUGAAUUUUGUUCACCUCUAGUUAGAUGUAAUAUCAUAGUAAUAAGCGUGGAGAUUAAUUAUAAUAAAAACGUAAAAUGAUUAUUUAAGAUACUAGAAUAAAAUUUCUAUAUAAUUGAAUUUAUAAUUUAUUUUAAAAUUAAAAAAACUAUUAGUAAUUAAAAAAAAUAUUAGUAAAGAGGGUAUAUAGAUAUAGCAAAAGAAAAAGAGAAGGCAUUUGUGGCAUGUUAGUGUUGAAGCAAUGUAGUGUUAUUGUUGGCUAUUAGGCAUCAUGUUGUCCUUUUUGGUGAAUGAGCACUACGCAAGGGGUUGUUUUUUUGGGUUAAAUUAUGCUGUUGGUCCUAAUUCUUACAUAGAGUUUGAGAUUUAAAGUCAAUCUUCCUACUUUUUCAAUUUAAAAUUUUUAAUUUGUUAGUAGUUUCUAUUAAAACUUAUCAAUUUAUAUGUUAAUUUAUUUGCAAUGUCAUAUGAAGACAGCAUAACCAAAGUUUGAAAAAAAAAACUUAUAAUUUUAAUGUUUGGAGUAAGAUUUUAAAUUAAAAAAUAAAAAGAAAUUAAAUCCUUUUUAAUUUUCUAAAUACAUAAAUUAAAUCUCAAAUAUAAGAAGAGUCAAAGUGUAAUUUUACCUUGACUAAUUUAAAAUUUUAAAAAAAAUUAAGGACCUAAAGACAAUAUUUUCCAUUUUGGGGCUAGACUAAGACACUGCCUUACUUAUCCCCUCCCCCUUCUUUCCUGUGUGUCUGAUAACUGACUCUGUUUUGCUCCCUACGACCCUGUGCUGCUCCCUACUUCACCUUGAUAUCGCGAUCACAGCUUCAUCCCAUGCCUGUGCAAUUGUACUCAAACAAAGGACAUUCUACGCACCAAAAACAAUUUCCGCAGAGGACUUGAUACAGUUUGGAAAAUCAGCAUGAAAUAUUUACUUGAAAAGGCAAGUAUCUCUAACGCCAUUGUUGAGCAGACAAUUGCUGCUCCUUCUUCACCUUUGUUUACCUAUGCUACCUACCUUCUUUGCUUUUUGUCCUUAAUGCUCCUUUUCAUUCUUUUUCAUUUUAUAUAUGAUAUUAGAGUCUUUUGUAAGGGGAGGAAAAAGUCUAAACGCAGCAUGUCGUUAAGGAACCAGAGGAAAGUGGAUGUGAAAGUGUUUGUUGUUUGUAAGGGGAGGAAAAAGUCUAAGCGCAGCGUUAGAUGAACAGUACACCAUGGGAUGAGAGAUUGCUGGAGAUUACAUAAUAAUAAUAACUUAAUAAUCAAAAGAAAUUACAUUAUAUAAACAAAAACGUUCUAUAUGUUCUUUAACGAUUCUGCUAUACAUGCAGAUUACAUAAUUUCUUAUAUCUAACUCCUUUUUUUUCCUAUUUUAUUGCAUAUAUCACGAGUUACCACGUUAAAUUUAAUGCGUUGCUGCUUCAUCCUGACGAUCAUAGCUUCAGCCCUGCAAAGCAUCCGCUGCUCGUAAAAUGCCUCAAGCAAUAUGUUGUAGGUGUAAAGAUUAGGCUCUAUGCCUUUCUUCAGCAUUCCAGAGAAGACAACGAGUCCUUCCUUUAGCAUUCCUUGCUUACAGAAUGCAUUAAUGACAGUGUUAUAGGUGACAACAUUAGGAUGAGGGCCAUUUUCUUCCAACUCCUUAAGCAUCUUAACAGCUGCAUCCAAAUCCCCAAUGAUACUAUACCCUUUUAUUAUGAUACUGUAAGUAUUUAUAGUGGGAACUAUACCAGUUUCAUCCAUUUCAGCAAAUAAUUUAACAGCCUCGUUAACUUUUCUUUCUAUGCAUAACCCAUCCAUCACAGUAGAAAAAGUAAAAACAGUGGGUUGAAAUCCUGUUUUUAUCAGUUUGCCCCAAACAGAUAAAGCAGAAUUAAGUUUACCAAGUCAAUCCACUUGUUGAAAGUAGCGGUAUUUCGCUUGAAGCCCCAACUUUCCAUUUUCCCACAGAGAAAAACAACUGUGGGAAGGUGGUUCUCCUUAGCAGAUGCCGCUAACAUUUGAUUGAACUGAAAGGUUGUUUUGACUUUUGAGGUUAGGAUAUGGGUUAUUAACUAUCUUGUUUGAAGUUUCAAAAACAUCAAAAGCUUUUGUAGUAAUGCUUUUGAUUGAACGAAAUCAAAUAGGCUUUGCCAUUGCAAGAGAAGAAAGAAAAACAGGGGCUGUGACUGUGAUAAGCAGAGAAAGAAAAACAAGGAUCGAUGAAGAAGAAAGAAGCGGUACAGCAUGUAUAUAUAUAGUCCGACUUAAGAAACAAAGGUGAAAUUGCUUCUUUAGUCCAUUAAACUCUUGAACCCGUUGGGGACAGUUUUUCAUUUCAAUCAUUUCGAGAUAAAAGUUUAAAUGGUAAAUUUCCAGUUUUCAUCCCUCUACUAUAAUCACAUUUAGGAUUUAAUCUUUAUAUUUUGAUUUUUAAUUUAACAUAAUAAUUUGGAUCCCUACUUUUUAAAAUGACAUUUGUUAAUUCAAAUAGUUAUAUUAUCUUCCAAUAUUUGGAUUAAAAUGCAUACAUAAAUUGUUCUUAAAAAAACUCUUUUCUAAUAUGAUAAGUCAAAUUAUAUAACAAUGGUUAUCAAAAAAAAAAAUUGUAUAACAAUGGUUAAAUAGUAAUUUUGGUCCUUAUACUAUAUUUGAUACAUCAACUUUUAUAAUUUAAAGCCUUCCUCACAUUACACACGACCAUCUCUCUCUCUCUCUCUCAUUAUAACAUAAUGGUUAAAUUUCAAUUCUUAUCCCUCAUUUUUUUCUAAAGAUUAUAUAACAAUCGUCAAAUUACAAUUUUGAUCUUAUACUAAGCUCAAAUUUGAGAUUUUAAUCUCUAUACUUUGAUUUUUUACAUAAUGUGAUGCACUAAUUAUUUCAGUGUUAUUAGUUAGCCUAAACACUUUAUUUUAAUUAAAAUGCUCAUAUGAAUUUUAAUAAUUUUUAACAUCGUUAAAAUUCUUUGUAAAUUGAAGUCCAUUGUAAAUAUCAUUUUUUUUUCACAUGGAUACCGAGCGAGUUUCUUUCUUUCUUUUUUUUCUUUUUAAUUUCAAAAUGUCAAUUAGUAGAUUUAAUAGAAGAGUUCUUAUUGUAAUAAUUAAACCCGAUUUUUAAAUUUAGAAAGUAAAGAAAUUAAAUUCUUAAAAAUAAAAAUAGGUAAUUGAUUUCCAAACAUAUAAAAAAUACAAUAACUUAGUAAUUUUUUAACCGAAUUAAUUCCGAAUUAACUUAUGACAUUAAAUCAAUCAAAAAUUUAAAUAAUAGUAUAAAUAUAUAAUAUUUUAAAAUAUAUAUACAAAUACAAUAAAAACACUUUAAUCUGCAGCACAUGUAAAUGAAUAUCAUUGGGUUUUAAACUUUUUUUUUUUUUAAGAAAAAUAGAAUCGAAAUGAGAGAAGAAAUUGGUGUACCCUAUUGGCAUUCCUAAUUAUGUAUGGGCAUUUGCAAGUCUCAAAUGUUUUGGUGUUCUUUAUCUAACUGCCCAAAUUUGCAUGGGCCCAUAAAGAAUAAACCAAAAUAAUAGGUCCAAAUAACAGUUCAUUACAACCCAAAUUUUUUAAACAAGCCCAAACCCUAAACAAUCCAAAACAAAAACAUAUUUAACCCAAACUAAAACAAGCCCAAAAUUGAAUAUUUUCAGCAAAAGAAAAAAGGGUCAAAAACCCUAGCAGCCUUGCUCCGCUUCCCACGUGCCUUGCCAGCACGUUCAACGCCCAAAGCCUAACCACCCCUGGCUCGUUUGUGGCUCUUGCACCAGAAUAGCCGAAGUAGCCCCCGUUGACUCCUAGCGGACCUACGAAAGAGAACCAAAAGCAGCAGAAAAAUAACAAAAGUAACAGUAACAAAAAAGCAAAAACAUAUUAUAUUUGUAACACUUUUGGCUAUAAAAGCACGAAAGACCAAUGUAUUCAGGGGGAUUUUUUUUCAAUAAUUAUAAAAUAGAGUUCAAAAAUUUUAAAAAGGUGAUUCUUUUUGUAUUUCAUUCUUUAUUUUUGUAAAUAAAUAAAGAAAACAAAAAAAAAAGAUCGAAACCUACCUUCUUCACUGUAUCUCGCCAACAUCGAAGCUUCUAUCCAUUCGCAAAAGCCAUGAGAGACCUUUAAGGUUUCAUUUCGGGCUUUGUCGAAAAAAUACGACAGGGCGAAGGGUGGAGAAGGGCGUCGAUUGAAUGGUUUUACUUCUUUUUUUUCUAUUUUUCUUUUUAGGCUUUUGCCUUUAGAUCUAGGUUUAGGCUUAAAAAGGGUAAAAAAAAAAGGCCUCUUUUCGUUUUCUCUGGCCAUCGUGGACAGCGGCACCGUCGCCGGCGACCGGAUGAUAGGCUUCAGCCAGAGAGAAAAUGAGAGAGAGAAAGCCUUUUUUUUCUAAAACAUGGAUAAAUGAAUUUUUUUGUCAAAAUAUAUAAGUCGACUCCCAUUUUUUCAUUUUUUCAAAAUAUAUAAGUCAGUUCUUUUUUUAAAAAAGUGGUUUCGAGACUUUACAUAUCCUUAACUUCAUGGGCAAUUAGGGACUACAACUUGGCGAGGUGGCCCGAUUGAUAGAGAUUAGGUCAAUUUUGGAUGGUUUAGAGUGGGACCAUUAUGCAUUAUUAAAUUCUCAAAGUCCCACAUUCAAAUUUGUUGAGCUGAACAUUUUAAAUAUAAUAUGAUAUAAAAUAUACGAUGGAGCACCAAAAAAAAUUAUAAUAAGAAAAUUCAUUUAUAUAAAUUAGGAAUUCACAAAUUUAAAGUGAAAAGAUUAAAAUAUCUUCAAAUAUAUUAUUUACUUUAAUUAUAGAAGGAUAUUCUCGUAAUUUUCUAACAGAAUUGAUACAGAAAUUUUAGUAUAAAUAAUUAUUUACCUAUUAUUUUCACCAUAUUAUUUUUAGAAAAUAAUUUUUAUUUUUUAAAAUUAAAAAAAGUCUCGUAAAUAGAAAUAAAAAAUUAUUUUUAAUAAUAAAAAUAUAAAAAACAUAAUUGGUAACUAGUUUUCUCCAACUCAUCUAAAGUUAAAAACAUUUAUUUAUUUUUAUUAUCUUUUUUCACUUUUACAAAACACAAUGAAAACAAUUUUUUAUUAUUUUCUAAUUUUCAUAUAUUUAAUUUUUCCAAAAAUUAUUUUUAAAAAUUUCAACUAAACACAUUUUAUUCAAUAUUUUCUAUUUUCCAAAAUAAAAAAAUAAAAAAAUAACUUCAAUUUCCUUAAACCAAACACAACCUAAAUUUCUAAUUAAAAACAACAAAACAAAAUGUAAGUGAAUGGUCGGUAUAUAUAUUUUGACAUGUGACUUGUGAGCCAACUAAAAAAGCAUAAAGCAUUUAUUUGUUUUUAUUCUAUUUCAAUUUUAAAAUGUUUUAUAAUCAUUUUUAUUUAUAUUUUUAUAAAUUUAUAAAUAUUAAAAAUCUUACAUGGAUAGUUUGUAUAUUAAUUUGACUAUUUUGAAAAAUAAAAAUUUUAUUCUAAUAUUAUUUAUUUAAUUUUUAAAACAUUUUAUAAUAAUUCAUAAUUUUUACAUGAAAUAUUAUCUCAUAUAUAAUAUGUGCAAAAGAUGUUAUAGGAUAUAAUAAAGAAAUUUAAAAUUAAUAUAUAAAUAAAUGAAACACUUGUCACAUUAUACUCGUGUAGUUUAAAAAUUUCUCAAAUUAUGUAUAAAAUAAUUAUUUUUUAUUCAAUAUUAUUGUAAAUAAAAACAUCUAAUUAAUUAACAAAAUAAUUAUAUAAAUAUAUAAAAAUAAAAAUCUUUGACAAAAAGGUAAGCCUAAUGUAUAUACAACCUACAAAUCACGAAACAUGAUUAAAUCAUAUCAGAUUAUUUAGAAAGAAAAUUCCAAACCAAAUUCAAAAUAUUUAAUUAAAUCAUGUGAUGCUCAUCCUGUGAGUAAAGGAAAAAAAACAUAUAAAAUCAACAUUAAAAAUCGAGCAAGCAUCAACUUAACAUUUUGAAAUUUUCUGUAAUCUAAACUAUUUAACUUAAAAAUAAAUUAUAAAAUUAUUGGAAGAUAUAAUAUCUUUAUUAUAAGGGUAAACUACAAAAGUAUUCAUUUUUAUUUGUCUCGGGUUACAUUUUAGUUAUUUUUGUUUGAAAUGUUAUAUUUUAGUCACUUAUAUUAUCGUUUUGUUACGAAGUGAUCACUCUAUCAUUAAACUUCGUUACCUCUUUAACGACAAUCCUACGUGGCAUAUAGGACAUUCAAGUUGGCAUUUCAAACAUAUAUGGAUUGCCACGUAAGACUGCCAUUAGGAAGGUAACGAAGCUUAACGAUAGAGUGAUCACUUCUUAAGAAAACGAUAACGUAAGUGACUAAAACAUAACAUUUCAAACAUAAGUGAUUAAAAUGUAAUCUGAGACAAACAAAAAUGACUACUUUUGUAGUUUACCCUUAUAAUAAAAUUUGUUGUCUUUAAAAUUUAUAUUUUUAAUUUUUUUUCAAUUUAAUUGAUGUCUAAUUAACUUAUAACACUAACUCAAUUACAGACUUUAUAAGUAGUAUACAUUAAGGGAAAAGUUUACCAUAAUAUGGGCUUAGGCUAAACGAUAAAAAAUCCUUAGUAUAAAAAAGAAUUAAUCAAGCUCUUAUGAAAAGAUGCACUCAAUUGUGCGCAUAAUAAUAAAAAUCAAUUGGUCUCUUUCAUUAAUAAAACAAUCAUUGAUCAAUUUAACCAUUAAUAUUUGUUGAUCACUUGGAUAAGUAUGUUGAUGUGUUAUGCCAUGUAAGCAAAAAAAAUUUAAAAUUAAAAGUCUAAAAUAAUAUUCAAAAGUUAAUAAAAAUAUACACUCAUAAUAAAUUUGGACAAAUGGAUAUCAAAAUUAUCUUAAUCUAAACACAAAUUUAUCCAAUUUCAUAUGGAUAGAUGCAAAAAUGUAAAAUUUAUGAUUUUUUUUUAAAAGAAUACUGUUUAGUAUUACAUAAAAGGGCCUGAAAAAACAAAGUAGAAGUCCAAAGACAAUAUCCAGGAGAAAACCCAACAAACACGCCAGCAUUUCACCAAAAUGGCAAGGGGCGUGUCUCUCCACCGCCGUUGACUCAGCUCAUUGCUAUGAACAACCUGCAAAAAAAAAAGAAAAAAAACAAAGAACAGAGAGCAAAGAAUAGCAUAAACACAGAAACAGAAAAGCAGGAAUAGUAGAAACAAAAAGGGGAAAGCAAAAAAAAAAAAACUAAUAUCAUGUAAUCUAUUUGGCUAUAAAAGCCGAAACCAUUGUAACAAAAAAAAAAAGAAGAAGAGAGAAAUCAAAUACAAAAAAAGAAAACAAUGAAAUUUCAAAAACGAAAGUAGUCUAUUUAUUUCAAUCUUUUAUUAUUUUCAAAAAAAAGAAAAAAAAUAGAAAAUAAAACAAAAAAGUUUAGAUCUUUACCUAACGUUUCGUCUCAUCGCCGGCGUGGGUGGCCUCCCCGAUUCGAAAGGUCUCCAAACCUCUUAAGGUUCGUCGAGAGCCUCAUCUGAUGAGGAAGAAACCAAAGGGUUUCAUCUUCUUUUUUGGAGGUUUGAUUCUUUUUGGAGGGUUUUGACCUUAGGAUCACGUUCUACGCGUUGAGAAUUUUUUAAUUUAUAUAGCCUCCUAAAACGACAUCGUUUUGGCACGACACAAAAAUUUGACCCAAAUACCCCUAGGAUCCGCGCGUUUUCACAUGGAAGGUCUAAUUGCCACUUUGGUCCUUCCACUUUUUUGCCCCUUUUUUAUUUCGUCCUAUUUCUUUUUUAUUUGUUUUAAUUUCACCCCUUUAAUUUUAAUUUCUUUACAAGUCAGUCCCUUGACGCACUGUUGGCCUAAGGGAAUGACAUGGGGUUGGGAUAAUUUCUCUCUGAGUCCCUAUACGUUUCUUCUCAUUUUAAUUUAAUCCUUUAUGUUCUGUUUUCUUAUAAUUUAGGAUUUAAAUUUGGUUAUAUUUUCAAUUUAGUCCUUUAUUUCCCCUUUCUUUUUUCUUUUUUUUGCAAUCCAUGCUUGAAAUUUUGUUUAAAUCUCAAUUUAAUCCAUUUAUUUAAUUCAACCAUUCCUCUCUUUUUUCUAUUUUUAUUUUUUUAACAUUUUUUAUGUCAUUUAUAUUUUUCCCCUUUAAUUUACAUUUUUUUAUUUUUUUCAUUAAAUACAAUAUUAAUUAUAUCAUAAUUAUUUAUUGUUAGCAUCAUUGAUUAAUAUUAUUAUUACUAUUAUAGAUGUAUUAUUAUUUAUUAGCAUGAUUACUAUUAUUUUAUUCUCACUAUUAUUUUGUUAUAUUAUAGUUCUGUUUUUUACCCAUAUAGUUAUUUUGUUCUAUUUCUGCCAUUACUAUAGUACGUAACAUGCUUAAAUAUUUGUUCAUCUUUGUACUAUGCCCAAAUAAAUUAAUUGUUCAUCACAUUAAAUGUUAUAUUCGUUUUUACCCGAUGCAUAAGAAACAACUAGAAUCGUCUUUAAUUAGGGAAUUUGAGAAAUCGUGCCCUAAUUUACGGGGUACGAUUUUUUUCUUGAACCGAGAUAAUCGAACAUCCUUUUAAAAUUCAAGACACAUAUAGGACUUAUGUAAUAAUCAAAUGGCGUUUAUUCUUAUUUUCGAGAAUUCGAGACAUCAUGCCAAUGAUCUUUUCUUCUCAAUUAACUUGAGAUAAGAAGGCCAUUUCCAUAAAAUUUAAUUUAGUUAAUUAGCGGUAUUUUAAUCAAAUAACAUCAUGCAAAGAGAAGAUCGUAUUUUAAAUUCUCUUCGAAUUUACAAUUUUCGACGCUAAGACAUCAAGUAAUUAACUAGUACCAAUUUUGGGCGUUAUAAAAAUAUUAAUCCUUCCUCAUAUCUCAGUCAACAUUCAGCUUAUACUUACUCGUCAUUCUCAUUUAAUGUACAAAUUAACAUGUAGUGAAAAUCUCAACAGAUAAUCUUAAUCUAUUAAUUACUUACAUCAUGUUGCCAACCCCUCCAUUCGAUUCAUCUUCAUAAACACCUGUUUGAUAAUGUUUUGUAAGCGAAAAUAAAAUCAGAAAUCUCGUAUGGAAAGUGUCACUCAUGGUGUUGCAUUUGCACGAGCACGAACAUACAAUUUUCUGUCAUUUUAUUAUUAUUAUUUCCUAAGAUAAAUAGGUAAUAUUGAAAUUAAAUUGUUAUUAGUAAAAUAAAGUAAAAAAAUAAAUAUCAAUCUUCGACCCUUCUCUAAUAUUUUUUUUUUAAAAUUAAAAAUAAAAAAAAAUAAAUAAUGAGAUAUAUGAAUCCACCAAAUCGGUUUCUUCCAAAUUUCGAUUCAUAAAUAACGACAACUAUCUGCUCCUGCACGAGAUCAGUUUCACCACCACUAUCGGUUUCGGUUUCUUCCAACUUUCGAUUCAAAAAGCGGUCAUCCUCUGCACCAUAUCAGCUUCCAUAAUACUGUCGAAUACGGUUUCGUCCGAUAAAUUCCGAUCAGAAAUAACGUCAAGUAUCUGCUCCUGCAAGAAAUCUAUUAAUCCCACAAGGUGCCCCACCUUUGGCGGUUGCAUUUUCGAUAAGGUUGGUCUAAGAACGACUUCCCCAUCAACAAGCAAAUGCCCUAAUAAGAACAAGGAGAUUAAAUUUGUUGACAAUGGCAGUAAGCAACAAACAUCAUCUUGAAUUCUUUAAAUUACCCACCUCCACAAAUAUCUUCGUUCCGAUGUUGGACCUCUGAAUCCCGAUAAAAGCCUUCUACAAGGGGUAACCCUAUAUAAACAUAACGCCAGUUGUAAACCCUGAACCGUAAUAAAUGAGAACACCAUGUAAACCCUAAUAAAUGAGAAAUGAAAUUACCUGAAAGUUCAUGAGCCAUCUCCUCAGAAAUAAAAGCACGAAACCCAGUAUACCACGAUGUUGCACUAGAAACAGCGUAUAUUCUCUUUUUCGCUUCCUCUUCACUACAAACAAAAAAGAAAAAUAAAACCCAUUUCUCAAAUUCCCGGAAAUGCCCAAAUUUGAAGGAAUUAACAACCUGCCGACAACAGAAGCGAGGGUUUUAACAUAGAGAUCGAUCUGUUCUUGUAAGGAAGGUUCUUGGUCUUUCGGGAAUCUGAAAGUGAUAACCCAAAGAUCAUCAUCACCACGUCCUCCAACUCUGUGGCUGCUAUUUGAAACGCCAACCCUUGGACUCAAUUGCGGUCUACGAAGGACUUUCCCAUCAACAAACAAAUCCCCUGAGAAAAAAGAUAUUAAAUUUGUUGACAAUGGGAACUUCAAUGGCUAUAAGCAACAAACUUCAUCUUUAAACUACCCACCUCCAAAAUAAUAAUCUUGGCUACCGAUAAACUCAGCUGGUAACACCCACCGUACACGAGGUAACCCUAUAGAAACAUAAUGUCAAUUGUAUGAAAAAGAUUGAUUUUAGAACAAAGUGAACAUUGUGGAUGCCUCAUCAAUUAUAAGUAAAAACAAUUGGGGAAGGGGGGGGACCGUUUAAACCCUAAUAAAUUAGUAUAGAAAGUAAUAACAUUGGGAGGUUUAAAACCCUAAAACAGCUAAGAAAACAUCACACACAAUGAAAGCCAAUGUUAACCCUUACUCUCUCUUUUCUUUCUUUCUUAAAGCCCAUUGUUUCAAAAAAGCACAAUUCUUCUUCCAAUUACACUAAAAAAGGGAAAACCAUGUAAGCCUUAAACCCUAAUAAAUGAGAAAUGAAAUUACCUAUAACGUCAUAAAUCAAAAGCCCUGGGAAAAAAGCACGAAACCCAGUGUACCUCGUUGUACAAACAGAGUAUUUUCUCUUUUUCGCUUCCUCUUCACUACAAGAUCAGAACAAACAAAAAAGAAAAAUAAAAUCCAAUUCUCAAAUUCCCGGCGAAAAGCCCAAAAUUAAUGAAAUCUGAAGGAAUUAUUAUUAUUUAAAAACCUGCCGACUACAGAAGCGAGGGUUUUAACAUAGGCAUCGAUCAUUUCUUCUUCCGAAGGUUUUGGGCGUCGUGAGAAUUCCAGAAUGAUAAGCCAAUGUUCAUAAUCAACGGUUGGUGGUGGGUUACUCCAGUUUGGAGAUGGGUCGUUCAAAGGCGAGUAGCCGGACCCAGAUGUCUUGGUUCGGGUCAGGAUUUUGGUUGCUUCGGGGAUAAAAACUGGGGUUGAGUUGAGGAGAGGAACUGUGAGGCGAGAACAGGAAGGAAAGGAAGAAGAAGAAGUGAGGGCGCGGCUUAAAAGGGUUGAUAGAGAUCUUCGGGCAUUGAGGCAAGCCAUUUUCCGGCAACGCUGGUUCUCUCUGAUAAUAAGCUUUGCUUCUGGGACACUACUAGAUUGAGAUUGUAAUAAAGACCAACGGUUUACCGAUUAAUUGUUUAAAAAAAAAAACGGAAAUUUUGUCUCAUAUCAUAUCAUAUUCUCCUUUUAAUCUAAUUUAUUAGCACAAUAUCAUAUCAUAUCAUAUCUUUUUCUUAAAAUCCCUAAGUCCGAUUCUACCUAGCCUUUUAUUAAUUUUUAUAUAAAAACUGAAUUCCUAAAGCUUUUAAUUAUGAGCUUUCUUAUUUUAAAAGAUCCAAUCUUGAAAACUUAUGUUAGUACAUCACCUCACUUAAUUUCUAAACUUGUAAUACAAAAUAUUUGACAAAUCAAAAAUAAGGAAACUAAACUGCAGUUGGUUAUUAAAUAAAUCAAAAUUGAAAAUUUUCAAUUUAAGGUAGAAUAACACAAAUAAUAUUUGAUAAAUUUAAAUCCUCAUACCCAGUUUAAGACUUUUUACCAGACUAACAUGAACGUAACAAACCAAUAGAUAAAAAUCAAACUUGUUCAUUCAUCUUGACUUUCCUUUCUCAUCAUCUAAACAAAAACACAAGAACGAACCAUAUUGCCAAUUAGAAACCCAAACCCAAUUUUUUUUUUACCUUAAUCACUUAUAUCUUCAACAGGCAAAGCAACAUCCUUGACAUGGGCUUCAGCUACAGAAGCAGAUUCUAUAACAGGGUCAGGCUGCUUUUCAACCUGAGAAUCCGGUUCGGAUGAGUAGAAGUGUAGAACCUGAGUCGACACCGAGUUAAAGCGGCGAGUGGGGAGAACGAGUGAACUGGGUUUUGGCUGGUUUUGGUGUAAGAGUGAAGAAAAUUGUGAGAAGUGAGUGAAAUUCCUAUGGAGAAAACCCUUUUCAUGGCUUCCAAAUAAAAAAAAAAAAAGUUUGUAGUAUCCAAGUGUUUUCCCGUUCUUUGUUUUUCAAUGUUUCUUUGAUUUCAUUUGAGGAGAAAUGCUGGUUAGUUUUGGGUUGUUAUUGUAGGCUUAGAACCCACCAUAGGUUAUUGCUGUUAUAGUGGACCAAUUUCAGGUUAGCAUUGGGUUAGGCCCAGACCAGUUUUCUUCUUCUUUUUCAUUAAUAUAUAUAUUUUUUGUUAAAGUACCUGGGAGGUCCCUGUAUUAUAGGGACUAAAUCAAAUUAGUCCCUCUAUUAUUAAAUGGAUUAAUUUAAUCCCUAUAUUAAAAAGUCUAAAUUUAUAAAAAAUUUAACAUUUACUAUAUACAAAAUAUCUUGAAAUUCAUUUUUUUUCAAUUGGAUUUAAAUUCCAAACAAAAGAUUUUAUUUACAAAAUUAUAAAAACUUUGAAAAUAUUAACUCUAUUAAACAAUAUUAACUUUGAAAGAUACCUUUUAGGUAAUGACGGAAUAAAAGAAAAUCAUUGUAGGUAAUGAUGAAAUAAAAGAAAAUCAUUGGUACAAAAAUAAUAUCCAAAAAAUUGUGCACCUCCAUGGAAAUUAAUUUAUGGGACUUGAAUGUUAAGGGCACUGGGUUGCUUACUUUGUUCACAAAAUCAAGAAGUAAGGCCUGUUGACUGCUCCGGAAGGCAGUAGGCUCGGCCUCGUUAGAGAUUGUAAAUGAGCUAAGUUUGGACAACGGUAAGUUCUGCGCUAAUAGAUGAAUUGUAUUUUGAUCUUUUUAUUAAAAAAUUAAUUUAAUUUAGAUUAAAUAGUAAAUUGUUAAGCAAAUUUUGUACAAGAAUAUGGUAUGAAGAUGAUUUUUUUUAAAUGUGUAAAGAGAAUCUGAUUUUUAAAAAGAAUAAUAAAACAAGUACUAUAUCAUCUUUAAUUUCUAUUCACACCAAAGAAUGAACUCAUUGAGAAUGUACUUGUGACUGUGGUAUGUUAGCUGCAACUUGCAAGUGUUCCUUUUUAAUACUGCACUCUAGGAAUGGAUGCUUCUCUAUCAUAAAAUUCUAGUCUUGAGCACAGAUAAACUUGGGGUUCUCAUUUCUUCAGUUUCUCCCAAGCCUGGAAUUGUAGUUUCGAGGGCUUUGUGUUUGUACAACCAAUCCCGGACCUCUUAGGCUGCUCUUGGAGCCCACUUGCAUGUGGAUCCUCUUUUAGAGUUAACCCUUUGAAGAAUCAAUUCAUCAGGAAGGGCCUGCCACCUCAUUAUCUGCAUGAUUUUCAUACCAAUCCAGUUCUGAAGUAACGGUUUCCUCAUCUAUUGCACAAACAUCCACUAAAGAUGAAUCCAUCGGAUUCUCAUUGUUACAACUAGGCACAACAGCUACAUUGUUUUUAGCUAAGGCAGUGGAACCUCCUUGACACGGUUUCAUAUUCCCCAUGAAUCAACUACUGUAUUUGAUCGAUCGAGUCUUUGACACUGAUCUAGUCAGCCUCGAAGUUAAAGUCAUCUUCAGACGAGUUACAUCUAAGAUGGUUACUGCUUCUUUGCUUGUCAGCCAAAUUUCCUUCCUCAUCCACCGGAGUCAUCUGAAUGUAGCGAAAACAAGCAUUAUCAGCAACAAUACUCAGCACAUCUUUUCAUUUGCAAAAAGAAUAGUACCUUUUUUUUUAACCUUGACGUUGUUAAGAUCUACGCUGUUCUCCUUAGAAAUGAAAUGAAGUCCUUAAAAUUUUAUUCUAAAAAUUAAACAUUUUUAUUCAGGAUUGAAUAAAAUUUUAGACCAUUUUUCGGAUCAAGUCAAGUUUAACAGACGAGUCUAAAAUUUUAGUUGAGUUGAAUCCAAAUUCUACCUGACCUAAUUAUGGACAGGUCUAGUUAAACAUAUUAAAAACUUGUCAAUUUUAUAAAAAAAUAUUUUUUAAUAUUUUUAAUUGUUAAAAAAUUAGUUUUUUUUUAAAGAUGAUUUGAUUAAAAAGAUUGAAAUGAAAAACUAAAAUAAUUAUUUUAAAGUUGAAAAGUGAAAUAAGUAAUUAUGUUAAUAUAAUAAUAUAAAUGCAUAGUACACAAUAAAAAUGUAAGCAGUAGAAAGUUAACAGGUGAUAAUGUGAGAAACUAGUAGAGUCUAGUGUAGUGGGACAGUAAGGAGUAGGGACUAGCUCUAUAGCUGGCUCUGCACUACCUUACCUUUGUUUGCUACCAAAUGCUUCCUAUCCCAUGGAGUUGAAAAUAAAGUAAAUAAAUAUGUCAUUGUUAUUUGGAUCAAUGGUUUUCUUUUUUUUUGAGAAAAUUCAACUAGAUUUAUAAAAUAAGAAAACAAAACAAAAUUUUGCUUGUCACUUGGCCUAAAACUCAAAACAAACAAGCCCUAACGCCACACAAAUAAAUCAAAUAAAAGGAAAACAGACCCAAAAGCAGUAAAAGGACCACGGGCCACUAAAAUAACUAACAAAAUAAAAUAAAACAGGAAACUUAAACUUUAAAAUAUCUUCAGUAGACAGAAACAGCUGGACCACUUUAAUAACAUUUCUCUUUUCUCUGAAUCGUCACUGCCAUUAAAAGCAGAGCUAUUUAUAUCUGCAGAAAAGACUCUGGCUCCCACCUUGGGAGCUGCUGUCAGAUAUCUAGAUCGUAUGCUAAGGUUUGAUCCAUUCCAUAGUAGAAAGGUAAAGAGAUAGGAGAGUGAGGCUAGCUUUGGGCAUCCCCUAAGCCCUGAUGUGCCUACAACGACACUUUUAGACCUUUGUUGAUGUACAUUAAUUGUUUUUCCAGCUGGUGGAGCUAAGACAAUAGGCCUUUAGAAAGCAGAGCUAUUACCACUGCCUACCCAAAAGAGCACGAAGGUAAAUAACCCACACCUUCCUUCAAUGCUUCCUCUUCUAUAACAUGCGCAAGUAUUUGGAUCAAUGGUUUAAUAUUCUCUACUUGUGUUAUUUUUUUGUUGUGUUGAAAUUUUUUAAAAAAUGGAAAUAUUGUAGUACAUGAAUUGCAUUUUAAUUAUAAAUAUAUAUACUCCAGUGCUAUGAAGCAUGGACACGGACAUGCAAUACGGAUACGACACGAUAUGAAUACGGUGAUACAGUAAUUUUUAAAAAAUAAGGACACGAAUAUGGAAGGAUACGACAAUAAAAAAAUAUUUUAUAAUUUUUAUAUAUUUUUAUAUUAAAAUACUCAAAUGUAAAUGAAAAUAUUGAUAUUUUUGCUAUUUUUAAACUACUAUAAUUUGUUUUUGAUUUUCUUACCCUAUUAUAAUUAUAUAAUAUAUUAACUACUUUUGUUUCUUUCUUACGCAAACAGCCCUUUUUUUUUCCCAUUUACCCUUUUUUUCCCUCCUCAUCUACUACAGACAGCUUUACACUCAUAUACCCUUUAUUUUCUUCCCCAUUUACUCCUUUUUCUUCCCUCCUCAUUUACUACUUUUACCUUUGCCUUUGUAUUUCUUCUCUGCAAAACAUUCAUCUACAAAACUUUCAGCAUCAUCAUCUUCACUUCAUAUAAGCGAACAGACUCCAAAGAAGGCAAGUGUGUCAAAAAUCCCAUAAAUUAUCAUGAUUAAAUGUUAAAUUUAUGCUUUUUAUCUGUUUUCUAAAGUUCUAUUAUUGUAUAUGGGUUUUUUCCCCUUUCUGAUUCAGGCCAAAAGAAAGUCUGGUAGUGUGCCUUUUUUGACACGUGUCGAGGUGUGUCCAGUAUGUAUCUGGCUGUGUCGGCGGUGUGUCCGUGUCGGACACCAGUACGACACUGGUACGAGGGGAUUUUCCCCGUGUCGGUGCUUCAUAGAUCCGGUGGGAUGCUCCAAUGGGGUUGACGCAGGCAGGUUAGGUUUUCGGGCCGACACAUGUAGGAGAGAGGGUCAAGAGGUUUUAAAGGAGAAGAUGAAGAGAAGGAAAAUGAGGAAGAUAAGGAAGAAGAUGAUAAAGAAGUCUAAGUGCAGCGUGUUCUUAAGGAACAGGGGGAAAGUGGAUGCAAAGAUGUUACAGACAUUAGAUGAACAGUACGCCCUGUGAUUGCAGUGCAAAAGAAUCAAUGGAGUUUUGAGGGUAAUGGGGUUUUUUCUCUACUUCUCUUGCAAUGGCUAAGCUAUUUCUUUCUUUUUCUCUCUCUAUAUUUUAACAAUAUUCCAACACAAGCUUUUGAUGUUUUUGAAAAUUUCGAAACCAAUUUCAAAAGGAGUUGUUUGAAAAACAGGGAUCGACUUUUGAAAAAUGAAAACGAGAGUCGUCACUAAUCUUUUAAAGUGUGAUUGGAUCACUAUAUAAAACGUUUUGGUCUACGAAAUUGUGAGAAAACAGGUUCGGGAGUUAAUUACGUUCGAGGAAGGAUUAGCACCAUCGUAACGUUUAAAAUUGGCACCAAAUUGGAUAAAUAUUUAUCUCAAUGCCAAAAUUUUGAGAAUAUUAAAAAAAAUGCGAUAUUAAAAAAAAUGCGAUUUUCUUAUUUUCGUAAUAAUUCAAAUUAAGAGAAUCGAGAUUCAUUCGCUUUGAAGGAAUAAUAAAUAUCACAUUCAGCAUAAUUGGACACAAUACUUUUAAACUUUCGUCCCAUGAUUUAUAAAACCUGCUUAAAAAUGAUAUUUUAGAUAUUUAGAUAAAUGGAAAAUUGCAACUCAGCAUAUUAGGGUACUAUUUCUCAAAUUUCAAAACAUCUAAAACAUUGUCUCGUUCAUUUUCUAAAAGUUUUUUUUAAUGACUUUUGGUUUUGAAAGUAAUGAUAUGUUUCACAUAUUAUAAGAAAUUAAAUACAAUAUAUAUAUAUGCUUUAUCAUUUCAUGCAAAUAUAAUAAAGGUGACGAACAAGGAUUUAAAUUAUCUAAUAUGUUAUUAUUUCAUGCAUGGUCAUAAAUAGUAUCAUUACAUACACAAUACAACAUAGAAUAUAAUGAAUUCAAUAAUAUAAAUUGUAUAAUGCAUACAUAACAACAUUUUAUGCAAAUAAAUAUCUAAAUUAUAAUAAUUAACUCAUUUUAUAUAAAUAUAAAAAAUAAGAAUAAAAUGAUAUAUGAAAUUUAACCCAUUGUACAAUAUCAAAAUAAAGGAGAAUCUAAAAUAAAUAAACGAAUUAGUGUAUGAAAUAUAAAAGUAAGCUAUUUUAGAAAUAUAUUAAAUGAUGUGAGAACAAUAAAAAGAAAUUCCCUUUUUUUAGAAAUAUAUACAUAUACAGAUUAUAUUAUAAUGUAUAAUAACUUAGUAUAUAAUAAAAAUAGUGUACUAGAUGUUAUUCUUUAAAAAUGUAUAUAAUUAAUAAGUAAUAAUGUAUGCUUUAGGAUAAAAUAAAGGUAAUAAGGAAAUAUAGUAAAAUAUAAUAUAAUUUACAAAUAAAAAUAUGUAAUAAUAUAAAUAAUAUAGUAAUAAAAUAUAUAAUAUAAUAUAAGAAGAAUAUAUAAAAUAAUAAUAAUCUAAUAGGUAUUUCAUAUAAAAAUAUAGUAAAAUAAUUGAUACAUAUAGAAAAUACAUAGUAUUUACUAACUUUAUAAAUAAAAUAUAUAAUAAAAUGAAUAAUAUAAUAUAUAAUAUAUAAAAAUAAUAUGUACUAAAAACAUAUAAUAUAGAUAUAAAUAAUAUAUAUAAAAUAUAUGAUAAAAAUUAAAAAUAUAUAAUAAUAUAAUAGAUAAAAUAUAGUAAAAUAAAUAAUAUAUAUAAUGAAAAUACAUAUAACAUAUUGUAAAAUGCAAAUAUAACAAAAUAAAAUAUAUAUAAAAAAAUAUAUGAUAAACAAAUCCUUUUUUAAAAAAAAAUAACAAUAUAUUGGACAAUAAUAUAUACUAUUUUAAUAUUAAAAAUAAAAAUUGAAUUGAAAAUUCCGGGGUUAAUUGUAAAAUAAUAAAAACAUUUGGACUUAAUUAAAACACAAGCUAAAAUAGAGGGACUCAUUGAGUAAUUAAACCCUAAUUCCAAAACGAUGACGUUAUCUGGAACUGAUUUUUAAAAGGGCACUAGGAUUAAAUUGAAAUGAAUAUAAAAGAUUGGGGCUAAAUUAAAAUAAAAAUAAAAUGAAAUUAAAAUUUGAAAACACGGAAGGGUCAAUAGGGCAAUUUGCCCAUUUUUCCAGAACGCGAGGAUCCUACCCAGGUUUUCGGGUCAACGCGCGGAUCCUGUGCCUAGAAACGACGUCGUUUUGUGCUUAUUGGAUUAAACCAAAACGGCGCCAUUUCAUUUAUGCUAUAUAGGCCAAACUUAUAGUUCUAAAAUCAUUUUGCCCCAGCUCUGAGAAAAAAAGAAAAAAAAAAUCCUCUGAAUGAGGAUCUGGGACCAGCAUUAGAUCUCCGUCAAGCCUCCGUUCUCAGGCGGUCACGCGCCCACGCGCCACUACGAACGCUGCCACGUAUGACGGCCGGAAACUGGAAAGUUUCCUUUCUUCGACGCGAAUAAAAAAAAAGGUAUAUUCCUCCUUUUCUUUUACUAUUUUCCAUAUAUAUAUAUAUGUACAUAUAUUUAAAAAAAAAAUCACCUUUAUGUAUUUCAAUCGACUGUGGUGCCAUAUUCAGUAUAUAUGCGCAAAAAAAAAAAAAACCUUUUCUUUGAAUCUGUAUCUUCUGGUUUUUUAUUCUCUAUGUGUAUUUUUCUAUGGAAAAUCAUGUGUUACAAAUCAGAAAAAGAUGGGUUUUUAUAACCCUUUGUAAGUGAUUUACAAUCUGGGAAAGAAAUCUUUUGAUUUCAUUCUAUAUUUUGCCUCUGUUUUUUAUUGUGGUUUUUUCAUUUUGCAGAUGUCUCGCGAGAAAUCCGGUGAUGGAAGGGUCGCUAGCGUUGAUGGAGGCCUGAAGUCUGGUGGUGGUGUCGGUGAGGUACUGAUUAAGGAGGUAGAGCCUUGAGUGAUGGCCUCGAUUGGGGAGCUGGACAGACGCUCCCCGAACCUUCCAAAACUUGUUACGGCGCGAGGGGAAAGAGAGGCAGAAACCCUAGGGUUUCAUGCCUCGGUGUAAUGGUUUGGGCCACUGUUGUUUGGGUUUAAUUUAGGUCUGCUGAGUAGUAACCGGGUAAAUGGGUUUUGGGCUAAUUGGGUUACAGGUGUAACGGGCUUUGGGCUUAUCAGGCUUUGAGCCCUGUUUAUUUGUAAAUGGACAUUUUAAAUAAACACUUAUUUAUUUAAUUCUUUUAUUCUAUUUUCAGCCCGGUCAAAUUUGGGCUAUUACAGAAAAUUUAAAAGAGAUUUGUAGAAACUCAUAUCUUAACCUCAAAACUUUUGCAUUUAAUGAUAAACUAACAAACCAUGUUAGGAAACACCA